UACGGAGGGUGCGAGCGUUGUUCGGAAUCACUGGGCGUAAAGCGCGUGUAGGCGGCCUGCUAAGUCUGAUGUGAAAGCCCGAGGCUCACCCUCGGAAGUGCAUUGGAAACUGGCAGACUGGAGUCCCGGAGAGGAGGGUGGAAUUCCUGGUGUAGCGGUGAAAUGCGUAGAUAUCAGGAGGAACACCUGCGGCGAAGGCGGGUUGCUGGGCUGACACUGACGCUGAGGCGCGAAAGCUAGGGGAGCGAACGGG
rnacentral:rRNA from 1 species